UACGGAGGGUGCAAGCGUUGCUCGGAAUUAUUGGGCGUAAAGGGUAGGUAGGUGGUCUCAUUUGUCUGAGGUGAAAGCCCUGGGCUUAACUCAGGAAGUGCCUCAGAAACGGUGAGACUGGAGUCCUGGAGAGGGUCGUGGAAUUCCCGGUGUAGCGGUGAAAUGCGUAGAGAUCGGGAGGAACACCAGAGGCGAAGGCGGCGACCUGGACAGGCACUGACACUCAACUACGAAAGCGUGGGGAGCAAACAGG
rnacentral:rRNA from 1 species